AGAGUUUGAUCCUGGCUCAGAUUGAACGCUGGCGGCAGGCCUAACACAUGCAAGUCGAGCGGUAGCACAGAGAGCUUGCUCUCGGGUGACGAGCGGCGGACGGGUGAGUAAUGUCUGGGAAACUGCCUGAUGGAGGGGGAUAACUACUGGAAACGGUAGCUAAUACCGCAUAACGUCGCAAGACCAAAGUGGGGGACCCUUCGGGCCUCAUGCCAUCAGAUGUGCCCAGAUGGGAUUAGCUAGUAGGUGGGGUAAUGGCUCACCUAGGCGACGAUCCCUAGCUGGUCUGAGAGGAUGACCAGCCACACUGGAACUGAGACACGGUCCAGACUCCUACGGGAGGCAGCAGUGGGGAAUAUUGCACAAUGGGCGCAAGCCUGAUGCAGCCAUGCCGCGUGUGUGAAGAAGGCCUUCGGGUUGUAAAGCACUUUCAGCGGGGAGGAAGGCGUUAAGGUUAAUAACCUUGGCGAUUGACGUUACCCGCAGAAGAAGCACCGGCUAACUCCGUGCCAGCAGCCGC
rnacentral:rRNA from 1 species